CACUACGAAAAUAUUGAGUUUUUAGGUAAAUGCUCUAUAAACUGAAGCAUAUGAUCUUUAGUGUUGUUUUAUAAUUUCUAAACACAUUUUACAAUUGUAUUAAUCUAUGUUAACUCUCUUUCAAGGUACGUGAGCAUCGUUUUAAUUUUUUUUCAAUUAAUUUAGUAAAACUUCAUAAUACUCCCUAAAUUGGUGGACUAACCAUUAGAAAAUCGCUAUUCUCUAGAUAACGGAGACAACAAAGGUUCCAAAACUCUUUGACCUUCAUCAUUUGUUAGUGUAGGAUGCA
rnacentral:lncRNA from 1 species